CAUAUAAACGCCCUUCACACUUCGCGUCUGUGGCUGCUCGUUGUUUGGCCAAAAAGGUUGGCAGGAAAAGAAGGGGGCUAAUAAAAGCGGUUGUUGAUAUUUAAAAUAGAUAUAACGAAAAUGCUUUGAUGUUUUGACUUCUUUCUCUUCAGCUUGUCUGAUUCGACCACUGCUGGGAGGAAAGUAACAGCAGGAGAGCAAGGGGAAAGGGAAGAAAGAAAGAAAAAAGAAAAGAAAAGAAAAGAAAACAAGACUGCAAUGGUGUUGGUAGAAGGGAGCAGCCUCAGGGGCUUCCGAUUAGAAUCCAGAUGUCCAUGAGCAGCU
rnacentral:sRNA from 1 species